AUGACGUCAAGUCAGCAUGGCCUUUAUAUCCUGGGCUACACACACGCUACAAUGGGAAGGGACAAUAGGUUGCGAAGCCGCGAGGCGGAGCCAAUCCAGCAAAACUUCCCUCAGUUCAGAUUGCAGGCUGCAACCCGCCUGCAUGAAGUUGGAGUUGCUAGUAAACGCAGGUCAGCCAUACUGCGUUGAAUACGUUCCCGGGGCUUU
rnacentral:rRNA from 1 species